AUUCCCUCUAUGUGUUGCCUCUUUUGACUAACCACUCUCUGUUCUUAUUAGCUUAAUUAGUGAUACGGAUUCUAUUUGUAUCCAAGAUAAUAAACUUAUUUUUGCAAUGCGGCACAGUGCUUGAAGCUUGCUUCAACUCCCCCAUGGGUUCGCCCUGGUGUUGCACUAUCUCCGAAUCGGCCCACUCGCC